rnacentral:rRNA from 1 species
CCUACGGGUGGCAGCAGUGUGGAAUAUUGGACAAUGGGGGCAACCCUGAUCCAGCCAUGCCGCGUGUGUGAAGAAGGCCCUCGGGUUGUAAAGCACUUUCAGUGAGGAAGAACGCCUGGUGGUUAAUACCCAUCAGGAAAGACAUCACUCACAGAAGAAGCACCGGCUAACUCCGUGCCAGCAGCCGCGGUAAUACGGAGGGUGCGAGCGUUAAUCGGAAUUACUGGGCGUAAAGCGCGCGUAGGUGGCUUGAUAAGCCGGUUGUGAAAGCCCCGGGCUCAACCUGGGAACGGCAUCCGGAACUGUCAAGCUAGAGUGCAGGAGAGGAAGGUAGAAUUCCCGGUGUAGCGGUGAAAUGCGUAGAGAUCGGGAGGAAUACCAGUGGCGAAGGCGGCCUUCUGGACUGACACUGACACUGAGGUGCGAAAGCGUGGGUAGCAAACAGGAUUAGAUACCCCGGUAGUC